rnacentral:lncRNA from 1 species
UCUAGAAAGACCCCCACUCUAAAAAAUGACUACGAGUAACAUUUUCCUCUUCUUCCCUAGUAUAGUAUUGUCUCAAAGCCCUAAUCCAAGUUAUGGAAAUCUCCAAUUUCACUAAAUUCAAUCAAUACAUAUUUUCCUUCAACAGGUAUUUCUUAUGAUUUAAAUUUCUUAUCUAUGCGACCUUAAUUUGUGUUUGUAAUCCUUUUCUACUUUACUUGAAUUUGGGGAUUAGUGAAUUUUGAUUGAAAAAAUUGAAUUUAUAUUUGGGUUAGGGCUUUGAUUUGAAGGUGUACGAACUAAUUCAUGGCGUCGAAGCGCAUAUUGAAGGAGCUUAAGGAUCUGUUGAAGGAUCCUCGAAAGCUAAUUCGGAAAUGAAAGAAAUCACCCACAUUAUGCGGCACUGGUAUGUCGGCUCUACAUCCUAUUUUCCCUCCCACUUCCACAUCCUUUUGAUUUUCUGAAUUUGUCUUGAUUGUUAACUCGCCUUAAAUAAAAUAUGGUGUGGUCUUAUUUUUCACUAUAAAUACGACACCUCUUAUUAUACAAGGGAUAGACUUUGAAGUUCGAUAAUUUUUCAUACUCAUUGCUUAAGAAAUGCUACUGGCCAAGACUCCUUAUUGUGAAACUGCUUCUAUUUUACUGAUCAUUAGUGCUCUGCUGAAGUAAUUUAAAUUUAAACGUGAUAAUUCUUGCUGGGGUAGAAAGGAUUCAGGUAUGUUUCUAGACCUUAUGUGUGCCUAGUUUUUGGUUUAAUGGGUGCAAUAUGGGAGAACUGAUCUCUAUUAUGCUGAUAUGGAUACUAAUAUCGUUUAUGUUUUAUGGGGAAAUAGCCUCUCUACCUUUGAGGUAGGAGUAAGGUUUGCAUAAACUUAUUUUACCCGCUGCCGAGCUCUAUCCUGGCCGAAUUCCUUAAUAGCCGAAUGCAUAUUGAAUUACUUGUCGAGCUUCAAUACAUUCCUCUCUUAUAAUAUUCUGCUUUGCUAGAAGAUGGAUGUGCAACUGCAACAUAACAGUUAGAAGCUUGAUACUUCUUAGUGUGCACUUAUGUGAGGCAAAAUUUUAUCAAUUAAAGGUGCAGUGGUCGACGUCCGGCAAUGGUGUUACCAACUUAAUAAAUGGAUAGAUACGAAAAAGUUUAUAAUAUGGUGUAAGACUUUCCAGUUUCUGUUAAUUAUCUCAUGUUAAGUUUUCUUAUCAUAAAUUUAGAUAAAUUAUUGAGCCUUUAAGUAUGUAUUUUGUUUUUACAUAGCUAAGAUAAGGCAACAUCUUGUACCAAAAGUAAAAGCACCACAAGAUUUGGCAAUGUCAUUACUUACCCGUCCCCUAAGAAUAACAUAGUUUAUUUACCACAAUACUACGCCUUAGUACCAAAUGAUUAGUGUUGACAAUGAAAUAGUUUGUUCAAAAUGAUCAAACAGUUUAGCUUCAAGAUGAACUCCAAAGUCCAUGUACUCUACAUGUGGAGAAAACUGAUGUAUUAACAUUUCCUCUAAGAAUUUA